AGAACUCUCCUGUUUCCAAACACAGAAGUGGUGAUUGUCACGGGUGAACUUUUCAGUGGCAAAUGUGCCUUUCACCUGACAGCUGGUGAUGGCAUCGUCGCUACGUGGUUCCUUGAGACAAACCUGAGCAAACCUAUCGAAAUGAAAAGCAGAUUGAGGCUGCGUACGGCCGGGCAGCAUGAAAGGAUUCCUGUGCAGCUGCACUGGGUGCCUUAGAUGGAAGACAAAUAAAUAUGCUCCAUCAUCAAAUAUUGACACCAGAGAAGAGAUGUCACCUGAAAUGUUCCUCUAUCUGAUGUAGAGAACUUUGAUCUUAAUUUCUUCUGAGGAUCUGAAUGUCUCACCACGAGCAAAACCUGAGGAAAAUGGGCUUUGUUUUAUUUUUGAGGGUUCUAGUUUUAUAGGUCAAAGUAACAUGACAGCAGUUGCCUACAAGAUGCGUUUGACCUAUUGAGAAUGGGAGAAGCAAUCGUAGGGUUCAUUUUUUAUACUUGGACCCUGCAGCCAAAUUCUUGGCUGAGGUGAAUUUAUGGCAAUGGAAGAAUCAGCCCAUUGUUUCCAAUUAUCCUCUUUGGAGUUUUGGUAUUGCUCAACAUUGUCUAGUACUCUAGAAACUCUGGGAUUUAAAACACACACACACACACACACACACAAAGUCAUUACUGGUACUAUUUUCUGUGCCUCUGUGGCUGUGCAGCUGGGUUGCCUUAGUUACCACCCAUCCAACUGUGCAAGGCAAAGGAGAGGCACAGGAGAGAUAAUACAUUUUUAAAGGCUCCAAUACUGUAUGAAACAGUUUGUCUAUAAAUAAUAAAACAAAUUUAGGAUCUGGCAUCUUUCAGGUGUUCUGAAAAGGGAAAACAAGGUUGUAUUAUUUGAGAAGCUGGAUUUUCCAGCUCUCAGAAAUAAUCCUGAAUCUUU